rnacentral:rRNA from 1 species
UACGGGGGGGGUAAGCGUUGUUCGGAAUUACUGGGCGUAAAGGGCUCGUAGGCGGCCAACUAAGUCAGACGUGAAAUCCCUCGGCUUAACCGGGGAACUGCGUCUGAUACUGGAUAGCUUGAGUGUGGGAGAGGAAUGCGGAAUUCCAGGUGUAGCGGUGAAAUGCGUAGAUAUCUGGAGGAACACCGGUGGCGAAGGCGGCAUUCUGGACCAUUACUGACGCUGAGGCGCGAAAGCGUGGGGAGCAAACGGGG